rnacentral:rRNA from 1 species
UACAGAGGUCCCAAGCGUUGUUCGGAUUUACUGGGCGUAAAGGGUGCGUAGGCGGUUUGAUAAGUCUGACGUGAAAUCUCCGGGCCUAACCCGGAAACUGCGUUGGAUACUGUCUGACUAGAGGAAUGGAGGGGAGACUGGAAUACUUGGUGUAGCAGUGAAAUGCGUAGAUAUCAAGUGGAACACCAGUGGCGAAGGCGAGUCUCUGGACAUUUCCUGACGCUGAGGCACGAAAGCCAGGGGAGCAAACGGG